UACGAAGGGGGCUAGCGUUGUUCGGAAUUACUGGGCGUAAAGCGCACGUAGGCGGAUGUUUAAGUUAGGGGUGAAAUCCCAGGGCUCAACCCUGGAACUGCCUCUAAUACUGGGCAUCUAGAGUCCGAGAGAGGUGAGUGGAAUUCCGAGUGUAGAGGUGAAAUUCGUAGAUAUUCGCAAGAACACCAGUGGCGAAGGCGGCUCACUGGCCCGAUACUGACGCUGAGGCACGAAAGCGUGGGGAGCAAACAGG
rnacentral:rRNA from 1 species